rnacentral:rRNA from 1 species
UGACCGCGUACUUUUUGUAGAACGGGCCAACGAGUUACGUUAAGUAGCAAGGUUAAGCACUUAAGGUGUGGAGCCGUAGCGAAAGCGAGUUUUAACUGAGCGUUCAGUUACUUGACGUAGACCCGAAGCCGGGCGACCUACCCAUGAGCAGGAUGAAGCGAAAGUAAAAUUUCGUGGAGGUCCGAACCCACGAGCGUUGAAAAGCUCGGGGAUGACUUGUGGGUAGCGGUGAAAUUCCAAUCGAGCCCGGAGAUAGCUGGUUC